rnacentral:rRNA from 1 species
AUUGAACGCUGGCGGCAGGCUUAACACAUGCAAGUCGAACGGAACCUUCGGGUUUAGUGGCGAACGGGUGAGUAAUACCUAGGGAUCUGCCUAUUAGUGGGGGAUAACGGCUCGAAAGGGUCGCUAAUACCGCAUACGUCCUACGGGAGAAAGAGGGGGAUCUUCGGACCUCUUGCUAAUAGAUGAGCCUAGGCCGGAUUAGCUAGCUGGUAGGGUAAAGGCCUACCAAGGCGACGAUCCGUAGCUGGUCUGAGAGGAUGAUCAGCCACACUGGAACUGAGACACGGUCCAGACUCCUACGGGAGGCAGCAGUGGGGAAUAUUGCACAAUGGGCGAAAGCCUGAUGCAGCGACGCCGCGUGAGUGAUGAAGGCCUCGGUUG